rnacentral:ncRNA from 1 species
UCCUUCGGGGUCGGGUGUAAUUCCCAACCGGCGGUGAUAAAGCAGAGCGUUUGCUUUUUAGUCCGUGACCCGUUUGGUUUAGCCAAACGGUUGAUUCGGUGUAAUUCCGAAACCGACAGUGAAAGUCUGGAUGGGAGAAGGAA